UCAUAUUUACACAAGCCUCUAUGAUUAAAAGCCUCUGUGAAAGCAUGCCUCCUUUUUCUGUGAAGUUUGUUUUAUGAUUUUUAAAAGUUUUAUGUGUCCGUUCGUGUUCCCUUUGUGCAUUGGUCGUAAUUUUUGUUGUAUUUUGUUUUUUAUUUUUUCAUUUUAUGUGUUUGUUGUUGUUGGCAAUGAAACGCCCUUCUUCGUUUAAGAAUCAUUAUUGUUAUGAAUAUUGUGAUGUAACUAAUUUGAUAUUUAUACACGAGAUUUAUAAUAUACAUGUAUAUAUUUGUAAUGUUCUUGGAGAGUUCAUGUAUAAUUGUGAAAAUAAUAAAAGUUGGAUUUUGAUAAAGUUGAG
rnacentral:misc_RNA from 1 species